CCUACGGGAGGCAGCAGUAGGGAAUCUUCCACAAUGGACGAAAGUCUGAUGGAGCAACGCCGCGUGAGUGAAGAAGGGUUUCGGCUCGUAAAGCACUGUUGGUAGGGAAGAAAGAUAGAGGUAGUAACUGGCCUUUAUUUGACGGUAAUUACUUAGAAAGUCACGGCUAACUACGUGCGAGCAGCCGCGGUAAUACGUAGGUGGCAAGCGUUGUCCGGAUGUAUUGGGCGUAAAGCGAGUGCAGGCGGUUCAAUAAGUAUGAAGUGAAAGCCUUCGGCUCAACCGGAGAAUUGCAUAAGAAGCUGUUGAACUUGAGUGCAGAAGAGGAGAGUGGAACUCCAUGUGUAGCGGUGGAAUGCGUAGAUAUAUGGAAGAACACCAGUGGCGAAGGCGGCUCUCUGGUCUGCAACUGACGCUGAGGCUCGAAAGCAUGGGUAGCGAACAGGAUUAGAUACCCCUGUAGUC
rnacentral:rRNA from 1 species